rnacentral:rRNA from 1 species
CCUACGGGUGGCAGCAGUGGGGGAUAUUGCACAAUGGGGGGAACCCUGAUGCAGCGACGCCGCGUGGGUGAAGGAGUGCUUCGGCAUGUAAAGCCCUAUCGGCAGGGAAGAAGCAAGACGGUACCUGACUAAGAAGCCCCGGCUAACUACGUGCCAGCAGCCGCGGUAAUACGUAGGGGGCGAGCGUUAUCCGGAUGCACUGGGGGUAAAGGGAGCGUAGACGGCCAUGCAAGCCAGGGGUGAAAGCCCGGGGCCCAACCCCGGGACUGCCCUUGGAACUGUGCGGCUAGAGUGCGGGAGGGGCAGGCGGAAUGUCUGGUGUAGCGGUGAAAUGCGUAGAGAUCAGGAGGAACACCGGCGGCGAAGGCGGCCUGCUGGACCGCGACUGACGUUGAGGCUCGAAAGCGUGGGGAGCGAACAGGAUUAGAUACCCCUGUAGUC